ACUCUUCCUCCAUCAGCCUGGCUGGCAGCAGCCUCGGACUCCGCCCGUGGAGCCCUGGGCCUGUUGACCCACCAGCUUAGGAGCACUCACCAAGCUCUGGGUGUUCUGGGAAGAUGGCAUCAUGUCUGGCUACCGCCGCCCCACCAGCUCGGCUUUGGACUGUGUCCUCAGCUCCUUCCAGAUGACCAACGAGACGGUCAACAUCUGGACUCACUUCCUGCCCACCUGGUACUUCCUGUGGCGGCUCCUGGCGCUGGCGGGCGGCCCCGGCUUCCGUGCGGAGCCGUACCACUGGCCGCUGCUGGUCUUCCUGCUGCCCGCCUGCCUCUACCCCUUCGCGUCGUGCUGCGCGCACACCUUCAGCUCCAUGUCGCCCCGCGCGCGCCACAUCUGCUACUUCCUGGACUACGGCGCGCUCAGCCUCUACAGCCUGGGCUGCGCCUUCCCCUAUGCCGCCUACUCCAUGCCGGCCUCCUGGCUGCACGGCCGCCUGCACCAGUUCUUUGUGCCUGCCGCCGCACUCAACUCCUUCCUGUGCACCGGCCUCUCCUGCUACUCCCGCACAGCGAUGGUGACCGGCUUUUUCCUCCCGCCUCCCAGUUUCCUGGAGCUGGAAAGCCCU
rnacentral:sRNA from 1 species